CUACGGAGGGGACUAGCGUUGUUCGGAAUUACUGGGCGUAAAGAGUUCGUAGGCGGACUGAUAAGUAAGAGGUGAAAUCCCAGGGCUCAACCCUGGAGCUGCCUUUUAAACUGUCAGUCUAGAGACCGGAAGAGGUUAGGGGAAUACCUAGUGUAGAGGUGAAAUUCGUAGAUAUUAGGUGGAACACCAGUGGCGAAGGCGCCUAACUGGUCCGGUACUGACGCUGAGGAACGAAAGCGUGGGGAGCAAACAGGAGUAGAAACCCUAGUAGUCC
rnacentral:rRNA from 1 species